GACGAACGCUGGCGGCGUGCCUAAUACAUGCAAGUCGAGCGAAGUUUUUCUGGUGCUUGCACCGGAAAAACUUAGCGGCGAACGGGUGAGUAACACGUAAAGAACCUGCCUCAUAGACUGGGACAACUAUUGGAAACGAUAGCUAAUACCGGAUAACAGCAUUAACUGCAUGGUUGAUGUUUAAAAGUUGGUUUUGCUAACACUAUGAGAUGGCUUUGCGGUGCAUUAGCUAGUUGGUGGGGUAAAGGCCUACCAAGGCGACGAUGCAUAGCCGACCUGAGAGGGUGAUCGGCCACACUGGGACUGAGACACGGCCCAGACUCCUACGGGAGGCAGCAGUAGGGAAUCUUCCGCAAUGGGCGAAAGCCUGACGGAGCAACGCCGCGUGAGUGAAGAAGGAUUUCGGUUCGUAAAGCUCUGUUGUUAGGGAAGAAUGAUUGUGUAGUAACUAUACACAGUAGAGACGGUACCUAACCAGAAAGCC
rnacentral:rRNA from 1 species